rnacentral:rRNA from 1 species
AAUCAGGUGGGACUACCCGCUGAAGCUUAAGCAUAUCAAUAACGGAGGAAAAGAAACUAAGAAGGAUUCCCCUAGUAAGUGCGAGUGAAGCGGGAAAAGCUCAAAUUUAAAAUCUGGCGGCCUUCUGGUCGUCCGAGUUGUAGUCUGGAGAAGCGUUUUCCGCGCUGGCCCGUGUACAAGUUUCCUGGAACGGAGCGUCAUAGAGGGUGAGAAUCCCGUCUUUGACACGGACCCCAGUGCUUUGUGAUGCGCUCUCAAAGAGUCGAGUUGUUUGGGAAUGCAGCUCAAAAUGGGUGGUGAAUUCCAUCUAAAGCUAAAUAUUGGCGAGAGACCGAUAGCGAACAAGUACCGUGAGGGAAAGAUGAAAAGCACUUUGGAAAGAGAGUUAAACAGUACGUGAAAUUGUUGAAAGGGAAACGCUUGAAGUCACGUCCGUUGGCCNGGACUCAGCCUUACCAUUGCUUGGUGUAUUUCCGGUCGACGGGCCAGCAUCAGUUUUGACCGCGAGAUAAAGGCGGAGGAAUGUGGCUCUCUCGGAGUGUUAUAGCCCUUCGUCGCAUGUCGCGGUUGGACUGAGGAUCGCAGCACGCCUUUAUGGCCGGGUUCGCCACGUACGUGCUUAGGAUGCUGGCGUAAUGGCUUUAAACGACCCGUCUUGAAACACGGACCAAGGAGUCUAACAUGCCUGCGAGUGUUCGGGUGGAAAACCCGUGCGCGUAAUUAAAGUGAAAGUUGGGAUCCCUGUCGUGGGGUGCACCGACGCCCGGACCAGACCUUUUGUGACGGAUCUGCGGUAGAGUAUGUAUGUUGGGACCCGAAAGAUGGUGAACUAUGCCUGAAUAGGGUGAAGCCAGAGGAAACUCUGGUGGAGGCUCGUAGCGAUUCUGACGUGCAAAUCGAUCGUCAAAUUUGGGUAUAGGGGCGAAAGACUAAUCGAACCAUCUAGRGCNRUBASDUMVACABUMBURDUGANCHSURANNUUKARYUAUNGBASDMYCUAHYMNMYCUSHMBASDMYCUSAHYHRASCRUCACACNRUBASDUMAUAAGUAAUGUGAAUUGCAGAAUUCAGUGAAUCAUCGAAUCUUUGAACGCACCUUGCACCCUUUGGUAUUCCGAAGGGUACACCUGUUUGAGUGUCGUGAAAUUCUCCCCUGUUCGUUUGCGGGUUUGAACGGCGGGGACUUUGGGGGUUUGCAGGUCCUUUGGAUCGGCUCCCCUUGAAUGCAUUAGCGAACGCCGUAACGCGGCCUUGGUGUGAUAGUCAUCUACGCCUUGGUUCAGUGUGGAAAGGCCCGCUUCGAACCGUCUCUUUGCUGAGACAHBUUUCAUUGRACACUUGAUCUCAUAUCAGGCUGAACUUAAGCAUAUCAAUAAGCGGAGGAAAAGAAACUAACAAGGAUUCCCCUAGUAACUGCGAGUGAAGCGGGAAAAGCUCAAAUUUAAAAUCUGGCGGUCUUUGGCCGUCCGAGUUGUAGUUUAGAGAAGCGCCUUCCGUGCUGGACCGUGUACAAGUCUCCUGGAACGGAGCGUCGUAGAGGGUGAGAAUCCCGUCUUUGACACGGACUACCAGUGCUCUGUGAUGUGCUCUCGAAGAGUCGAGUUGUUUGGGAAUGCAGCUCAAAAUGGGUGGUGAACUCCAUCUAAAGCUAAAUAUUGGCGAGAGACCGAUAGCGAACAAGUACCGUGAGGGAAAGAUGAAAAGCACUUUGGAAAGAGAGUGAAACAGUACGUGAAAUUGCUGAAAGGGAAACGCUUGAAGUCAGUCGCGUUUGCCGGGACUCAGCCCCACCUCGGUAGGGUGUACUUCCUGGUAGACGGGCCAGCAUCACUUUUCUUCGCUGGAUAAGGCCAGGAGGAAGGUGCCCCUUCGGGGGUGUUAUAGCCUCUUGUCGGAUGCAGUGGAGGGGAGUGAGGCUCUCAGCGCGCCUUUGGUCGGGGUUCGCCUACGAUCGCGCUUAGGAUGCUGGCGUAAUGGCUUUAAACGACCNNUCUUGAAACACGGACCAAGGAGUCUAACAUGCCUGCGAGUGUUCGGGUGGAAAACCCGUGCGCGCAAUGAAAGUGAAAGUUGGGAUCCCUGUCGUGGGGAGCACCGACGCCCGGACUUGAGCUCUUGCGACGGUUCCGCGGUAGAGCAUGUAUGUUGGGACCCGAAAGAUGGUGAACUAUGCCUGAAUAGGGUGAAGCCAGAGGAAACUCUGGUGGAGGCUCGUAGCGAUUCUGACGUGCAAAUCGAUCGUCAAAUUUGGGUAUAGGGGCGAAAGACUAAUCGAACCAUCUAGUAGCUGGUUCCUGCCGAAGUUUCCCUCAGGAUAGCAGAAACUCAUGUCAGAUUUAUGUGGUAAAGCGAAUGAUUAGAGGCCUUGGGGUUGAAACAACCUUAACCUAUUCUCAAACUUUAAAUAUGUAAGAACGAGCCGUCUCUUGAUUGGACCGCUCGGCGAUUGAGAGUUUCUAGUGGGCCAUUUUUGGUAAGCAGAACUGGCGAUGCGGGAUGAACCGAACGGGAGGUUAAGGUGCCGGAAUCUACGCUCAUCAGACACCACCAAAGGGGUUAGUUCAUCUARACAGCAGGACGGUGGSCAUGGAAGUCGGAACCCGCUAAGGAUGUGUUAACAACUCACCUGGCGGAAUGRACUASCCUGRAAAUGGAUGGCGCUCAA